rnacentral:rRNA from 1 species
GACGUAGGGGGCCAGCGUUGCUCGGAAUUACUGGGCGUAAAGGGUCCGUAGGCGGUGUGGCAAGUCGGGAGUGAAAUCUCUGGGCUUAACUCAGAGGCUGCUUCCGAAACUGCCGUGCUAGAGUGCGGGAGAGGCGAGUGGAAUUGCAGGUGUAGCGGUGAAAUGCGUAGAUAUCUGCAGGAACACCCGUGGCGAAGGCGGCUCGCUGGACCGCAACUGACGCUGAGGAACGAAAGCUAGGGGAGCAAACAGG